GUUGCAAAAUCAAAAACCUCCGCCGCUGUCUCCCAGUCUCCUUGCAAUUCAAACACUCCAAAAUUUCCAAUUUCAAGUUUUAAGAGAUGGAAGAAGAACAAGUAAAUCUUUUAUUUUUUUGGUACCUUUUCCACCUUUCGGACCUGUUCUUUGUGUAAGACAAUUGCCCAGAGUUCAAAUUAAAGAACAGGCUUCUUUUUUUCUUGGUAAUUAACAUAGUAUUGGGGUCGGGGUCUUGAAUUAAAGAAUAGAAAUUUGACGAUUAGUCUUCUUGGAAUUAUGGGAAAGAAGAGAUUUCCAUGGAAUGAAAGUGUGAAAAUAUUUUUGACGGAAAUGUGAACCCAUGAGUUUUAAUUGAGUAAAUGGAUGGAGAAUGGGAAUGGGUUUUUUGUUAGGUAUAUCUAUGUACACAGUUUUCAAGGGUGGUGAAUUUUAUUAUUAUUUUUUUUUUUAAUCAUUGAUUGUUGUUUUUAUUGUUUCAAUUACAUAUUUCAUCUAAAUUUUGUGAAAUUUUGCC
rnacentral:lncRNA from 1 species